rnacentral:rRNA from 1 species
UACGUAGGGUGCAAGCGUUGUCCGGAAUUAUUGGGCGUAAAGAGCUCGUAGGCGGUUUGUCGCGUCUGCUGUGAAAAUCCAGGGCUUAACCCUGGACCUGCAGUGGGUACGGGCAGACUGGAGUGCGGUAGGGGAGAUCGGAAUUCCUGGUGUAGCGGUGGAAUGCGCAGAUAUCAGGAGGAACACCGGUGGCGAAGGCGGCAUCCUGGACCGACACUGACGCUGAGGAGCGAAAGCCAGGGGAGCAAACGGG